rnacentral:rRNA from 1 species
AUUGAACGCUGGCGGCAGGCCUAACACAUGCAAGUCGAACGAGUGGCGGACGGGUGAGUAAUUUCUGGGAAACUGCCUGAUGGAGGGGUCUAACUACUGGAAACGGUAGCUACUACCGCAUCACAUCCGAUGUGCUCAGAUGGGAUUAGCUUGUUGGUGGGGUAACGGCUCACCAAGGCGACGAUCCCUAGCUGGUCUGCGAGGAUGCACAGCCACACUGGAACUGAGACACGGGCCAGACUCCUACGGGAGGCAGCAGUGGGGAAUAUUGCACAAUGGGCGAAAGCCUGAUGCAGCCAUGCCGCGUGUAUGAAGAAGGCCUUCGGGUUGUAAAGUACUUUCGGCAGGGAGGCGUUACCCGCAGAAGAAGCACCGGCUAACUCCGUGCCAGCAGCCGCGGUAAUAC